rnacentral:rRNA from 1 species
AUUGAACGCUGGCGGCAGGCCUAACACAUGCAAGUCGAGCGGCAGCGGGAAGUAGCUUGCUACUUUGCCGGCGAGCGGCGGACGGGUGAGUAAUGUCUGGGAAACUGCCUGAUGGAGGGGGAUAACUACUGGAAACGGUAGCUAAUACCGCAUAACGUCGCAAGACCAAAGAGGGGGACCUUCGGGCCUCUUGCCAUCAGAUGUGCCCAGAUGGGAUUAGCUAGUAGGUGGGGUAAUGGCUCACCUAGGCGACGAUCCCUAGCUGGUCUGAGAGGAUGACCAGCCACACUGGAACUGAGACACGGUCCAGACUCCUACGGGAGGCAGCAGUGGGGAAUAUUGCACAAUGGGCGCAAGCCUGAUGCAGCCAUGCCGCGUGUAUGAAGAAGGCCUUCGGGUUGUAAAGUACUUUCAGCGGGGAGGAAGGCGAUAAGGUUAAUAACCUUGUCGAUUGACGUUACCCGCAGAAGAAGCACCGGCUAACUCCGUGCCAGCCGCCGCGGUAAAAC